GACAAUGAUUCAGAAACAAAUGCUGAAGUUUUGGAAAUUCUAUUGUUUACUCUGCAAAUGAUUAUAGAUGGUAUAUGAGGUCAGGCAUUGUUUUCUUGACCCCCCAAAUUUCAACGUCAACAUUCUUGAAAUAGCCAUUAAAAUUAUAUUACCAUUUACGGUGGUUGAAAUAAAUUUAUUUAUUUAUUUUUAGAAGAAACAUGCAUUUAUUGUUGAUAAAAAAAGUGACAACCACUGAACAAAGAAAAUACUAAAUUAAGCAUUUUCAGGGCCGUCCGGGUUUGGUGGUUGUCCGGUUUUGGUGGUCCCCAACCAGUAGCUUAAACAUUUAUGAACUGUAAAUUCUUCCCUCACACACUUUCAUCAAUAACAAUUUCAAUUAGAAAAGGUAUAUAAAUUAUGACAUGAAAACGUAAAACAAUGAAAGGUAUGAACACAUGAAACAAAGAUAAUUCAACAUAGAGCAACAAAACUAGUUCCACUGAGGAAUACCGUACCGCCGGUAAGGCCCCCACGGUUACACUUUUAAACGGAUUCGUUUCGAUUUUCAUUCAUAAACGGUUAUGAUAUUUUUUACCGUUUAUUCGAGAUGACCAUAUUGUCUUACAAAUUAUCUCUAUAAUAAUUUCCUGUAAUCAUGGAUUUUAUCUAUACUUAUUGGUUUAUCAAAGUAAAAAAUGGAAAAUGGGUGUUUACAACCCGGACCACACACCAUCACCGUGCAAUAAUCGCUUGUGACAUAAUUCAUUUUUGUUAAAGUUGAUUUUUCUUUGAUCUUUUAAAUAACGAAAUGCGGAUACAAUGCAGAAAAUGUGUGCCGCCUAAAUCGUGAUGAGCACUGAACAUUAUUUACUUGUAUAGAAAGUAAGUCAUCAUUUGGCGACUCGAAUACAUGGCAUAGUAUAGUGCAUAGAAGUACCACCGUUUAAACAGUAUCGAUUCGGUUCUUAGCAAUCAUGUAAAGGUUUACACAAAAUUGUAAACGUGGGAGCCUUUACCGCCGGAUAUUGCUCGAUAUUACGAGGACUUUCAUCCCAUUUCAAGACUAUUAACAAAGUUAAAUUCAAGGUAAACGUUCAAUCUGACAACAAUAAAAUUUCAGAUGACAGUGCAUUUUGAGAAUAAAUAAACAUGUCAGUUUACCGAGUAUUGCUUUGGAGUUGCUCGCCGGUGUCACUAGUAUGCUUUUUAAUGUAACGAGUAUUGGUUAUUAAUAUCAAGUAAAUGUGAGAAGGUAUCACAGAGUUUUUACCACAAUUAACCUUAAAUAUUUCUUAUUGUCACAAUGUGUAUACUUAUUGACAUAUGUGCAGAAUAUGCAGAUUUUGGAGGUACUGUACUGAAUAAUACAUACCCAGCAAACAUGCAUAUAUGGGACCCAUAUGGGCUAUAUCUAGGCAAGCUAAUGGGUAUGCCCAUAUUGGACCUAUAUGGAUCCAAUAUUGGCAAGUCCAUUUUGGGUACGCCUAUAUAUUAGACCCAUAUGGGUACAAUAUUCCAGCACUUUAAGGAAAAACGAUUUUUCUUUUAUUUAUUUCUUUAGAACUCGUUUACUUUGAGCUAUAGUGUGACCACCUUGGCAUAAAUUAUUAUCUUAUAUAAAAUCGUAGCAUUAUUUUAAACAUUUAUACAAGCCAUGAGGGACCCAUAUGGGUCCCAUUUGGGCAACCCGAUAGAUAUUAGCAUGCCUGAGCAGGUGCGAGAAAUUAAUUUGUUAAGUUUUUAUAUUGGUUUUAAUUUUUAUUAUUUAAAUAUAAAAAUGUGUUUUUAGACUAUAAAUUCAGAAAUAAUUUAUAAAAAUCAGUUUUUGAUGAAAAAAUUUAUUUCGAGCAUGUGCAGACUUGAUUUCCGCUGCCGCUUAAAAUCAAAUUGUGUAUUGAAAUGUUAAAUUGUAAAAUUGUACACAAAAAAAAAUAUUUCUUUUCCAUUCCGAGCAUUUAACCACGAUUUCGUAUAACGACUUUUCAUAUUAUAUCCUUACAUGUUUAUUAUGUGUGUAGGUAAGCUGUAAACGCUGUUUAGUUUUUGGUUUUGCCUUUGUCAUGUAAUUUCCCAAUAGUCGUUUAAUUUGCGACAUUUUCUAGAAUUUACGCCCUGACUCUUAGGCACUUUAGCUGACCUAUGCAUGUGUAUAGUUGUUAUUGUUGAAUUACUUAACUGUGACGGAGUCGACACUAACAUUUUAAAAAUAUUGUUUCUAACUAGACUAAAUUUUAAGAGAUCUCUUUUUAAAGGGACACCAUCAUUUGAAAUCCAGUGUCCCCCCUAGCCUUAGAAGUCCCUUCCAUUUUGUACCAACAUUUCAUUCAUAAGCAUUUUAAAAUAUUAAAUACAAAAUUAAUACUUAUUUUUACAAAUUCAAGUAUUUUUUCCAAGUACCAACCAAGCCCUCUAGCUGUUGCACAGGCAUGAGUAUCGGACCUAAGAAGAAAAAAUAUGACCUGAUAGAUAAUUAAACCUGUGUUCAUCUUAAAAAAUUCGAAAACCAAAAAAAAUGUAAAUUAUGACCCCCUUUAAAACAUACUAUAAGUUAAGAGAAGGCUGGAAACUCUAGAUUCGAGCCUACGAGCAAGGGAUUCGCUACCCAGGCCGUUGUGAAAACAAUUGUCCAGACAAUUAAAAAAUCUUUUAUCAUUAUUUCACAUUUGUAUUAAGCUUCCAAAUGAGACCAACUCCAAGUCUCUAGCCCUUCCUGUUCAUGAAAUAAUCCCAUCAGGAAACGAGCGCAUUCGUGCUAAAAAUCCUUGGUAGAAAAAAUUGCGGCACAACAAUUCGGUACGUAAACAUAGACUAAUACAUGUUUGUCAGCCGUGUACAGGUCAUAAUCAUAUUGUCACUUGGUGCAAUAACUCACUUAAUGACUAUGUAUAUGUAUUUUUUAACUACUUAUUAAUGUAUUUUCAUUUUAUUGUCAAUAGGCCAUCAAAAAGGCUGUAUGAAUCGGAUAGUGACACUGAUGAAUAUGAGACAGACACCGAGAGUAGGCCAUCACAAGUUAUUGACAAAGCAACAACGGGCUGCUUUCACCGCCGCGUUGCUUAUCUGCACAGGCAUUGCGAGAGGCCAGCAGUGAUGUGCAAAGUGCUUCUCUUAUACAAGGUGCUUCUGAUACGCCCUCCCAUGGGCAGAUUAUUGGGCCCACUGCUGUUACACAGAUUCUCUGAGUCUUGGAGACAAUGCGGGAGGAGAAUCGUGAAAUUAAGAGUAUGAUGUAGCAAUUGUUGUCAAGGUCAGCAGCAGAUGACCAACCGCUGCAGCUUCCUGAAGAUAUCUCAUUCCCUAUUCGUUCUCCUUAGCAGAUGGAAACAUUCGAUGAGCUUCUGGGAGAUCAGACAAAGCUGUCAUCUGUGGUGCGGUUCCUCUCAAUGUUUGGUGGGGCAGUUGUGCGGGAAACUGUUGACCGCUAGAUGAUAGAAACCAUGUCAAAUGAACUGGUAAGAAUGUUCAAUAUGAAGGGGGCUGAAAGGGAAGAAAACAUUUUGGGGCCUCUAGAUACUGAAUGUAUUGUAUAAAUGUGUCCAAAGGAACUUGCCGGCAAAGACUGCGACGAGGAAUGAUAUUGAAAUAAAGGUUUCAAAGUGGCUGGCUGGGGUGUGGGACCGCAAUGGGGGAAGGAAAGCAAGAAACAAAGUGUCCGAGACCUUACCUGAAGCAAAUGAAGGAAGUGACUAGACAUGUUUUUAUUUUUAAAAAAUACAAAUCUAUAGAGGAUAUUUGUUUGUUAGUGUGUAAGAUGAAAUUUUAUAUCAUCAAGUGAUCUGUAAAAACAUUAUUCUCACGAGUGAGAACACUGUUAUUUAAAAGUCCCUCAAUGAUAUAAAAUUACAUCUUACACAACAAACAAUAAAGUGUAUUUUUAGCUCACCUGUCACAAAGUGACAGGGUGAGCUUUUGUGAUCACUUUUCGUCCGGCGUCCGUCCGUCGUCCGUAAACUUUUACUUUAAAUGACAUCUCCUCAUAAACCACUAGGCCAAUUUCAUCCAAACUUCACAGGAAUGUUCCUUUGGUGGUCACCUUUAAAAAUUGUUCAAAGAAUUUAAUUCCAUGCAGAACUCUGGUUGCCAUGGCAACCGAAAGAAAAAAAUUUAAAUAUCUUCUUUUAAAAAACCCUAAGAGCUAGAGCUUAGAUAUUUGGCAUGGAACAUCUUCUAGUGAGUGUCUACCAAGUUUGUUCAAAUAAAAUCCCUGGGGUCAAAAUUGGCCCCGCCCCAGGGGGUCAUUGAUUUUCCCUAUAUGCAUAUAGUAAAAACUUACAAAAUCUUCUUUGAAAGAACUCAAAGAGCUAGAGCUAAGAUAUUCAGCAUGAAACAUGUUCUAAUGAGUGUCUACCAAGUUUGUUUAAAUAAAAGCCCUGGGGUCAAAAUUGGCCCCGCCCCAGGGGUUCAUUUAUUUUCCUUAUAUGCAUAUAGUAAAAACUUUAAAAAUCUUCUUUUAAAGAACUCAAAGAGCUAGAGCUAAGAUGUUUAGCAUCAAACAUGUUCUAAUAGUUGUCUACCAAGUUUGUUCAAAUAAAGGCCUGGGGUCAAAAUUGGCCCUGCCCCGGGGGUCAUUGAUUUUCCUUAUAUGUGUAUAGCAAAAACUUAAAAAAAUCUUCUUUGAAAAAACCCAAAUAGCUAGAGUUUAGAUAUUAAGCAUGAAACAUCUUCUAGUGAGUGUCUACAAAGUUUGUUCAAAUAAAAGCCUUGGGGUCAAAAUUGACCCCGCCCCGGGGGUCAUUGAUUUUCCUUAUAUGUGUAUAGCAAAAACUUAAACUCUUCUUUGAAAAAGCCCAAAUAGCUAGAGUUUAGAUAUUAAGCAUGAAACAUCUUCUAGUAAGUGUCUACAAAGUUGGUUCAAAUAAAAGCCCUGGGGUCAAAACUGGCCCGCCCCAGGGGUGUCAUUGUUUUUAACUAUAUGUGUAAUGCAAAAACUUAAAAAAAUCUUCUUUUAAAAAGCCCAAUGAGCUAGAGCUUAGAUGUUUAGCAUGAAACAUCUUCUUAUGGGUGUCUACCAAGUUUGUUCAAAUAAAAGCCCUUGGGUCAAAAUUAGCCCCGCCCCAGGGGGUCAUUGAUUUUCCCUAUAUGCAUAUAGUAAAAACUUAAAAAAUCUUCUUUUAAAGAACUCAAAGAGCUAGAGCUAAGAUAUUUAGCAUCAAUCAUGUUCUAAUAGGUGUCUACCAAAUUUGUUCAAAUAAAAGCCCUGGGGUCAAAAUUGGCCCUGCCCCGGGGGUCAUUGAUUUUCCUUAUAUGUGUAUAGCAAAAACUUAAAAUCUUCUUUGAAAAAACCCAAAUAGCUAGAGUGUAGAUAUUAAGCAUGAAACAUCUUCUAGUGAGUGUCUACAAAGUUUGUUCAAAUAAAAGCCCUGGGGUCAAAAUUGGCCCCGUCCCGGGGGUCAUUGAUUUUCCUUAUAUGUGUAUACAUGUAGCAAAAACUUAAAAUCUUCUUUGAAAAAACCCAAAUAGCUAGUGUUUAGAUCUUUAAGCAUGAAACAUCUUCUAGUAAGUGUCUACAAAGUUUGUUCAAAUAAAAGCCCUGGGGUCAAAACUGGCCCCGCCCCAGGGGUGUCAUUGUUUUUAACUUUAUGUGUAUAGUAAAAACUUUAAAAAAAAUUUUUUUUAAAAAGCCCAAUGAGCUAGAGCUAAGAUGUUUAGCAUGAAACAUCUUCUUAUGGGGGGGGGGGGGGGGCUAUAUACAGGUGAGCGACCUCAGGGCCAUCAUGGCCCUGUUGUUAUUUUAUGCUAAUGAAAUUUCCUCAAUAUUAACUUAAAUAAUUAUUAAAUCUGUUUUCCCCACUGUUAACAUCAAUUUUAGUUGAAUUUAAGUCCAAUUAUUCAUAAAUACAGGAGUCUUGGGCUGAAC